GGUUGGGCUAGUUGGGUCAAUAUAUGUGUUUAUAAUGUUAUUAUAAACAGUUAUAAGAUACUCAUGAGGAUUUUAUUAAUGUUCGUAAGCAUCAACAAACAGUUAACAAGUUUCUUAUAAGUUAUUAUAAAUCUCUUAAAGUCUGCUAAUAACUGUAUUAUAAUGAGACUAUUAAUAGAUAUAUCGUCUUAUAAACAAAUAAUAAUGUUAAUAAGCAUCUUGUACACACUUAUAAGGGCCUUAUUACCUAUUAACUAAUGCUUAUUACGAGGACCUUAAUGUAAAGUGUUACCAAUUUUUUUUCUUUCUUAAACUUACUAAGAUUCCCAGGAAACUGAUAAGCCAUCUAAAUCUACACCUUUGUCAUGUAGUCUCGAUUCCAUAGAAAACUAUCGAUGGCUGUGUUAUUCAUUAGAUACUCUCGUACAAUAUCUAAUUUCCUUCUGUGUUCAUUUUUUUUAAGACUUUCUUAUCAUUCUGAUUUGAUUUUUUGGUUCAUCGUAAUAGAACCCCAGCUUCACUUGCACCCACUCCCUGGCUGACAUUUAAACUACAGACAUGGUUGGAAAAAUGUCUAACUGUGGAACAGUUUCAAGCAUUACAUUUAUCACUUUUCAUUCUUUUCUUGGUAGAUCUUUGAUUUUUCUUUGUAUUUAUUUAUUUAGCUAUUUUUUUUUAUUUUUAGUUUUUUGUACCACAUGGUUUUCUGAAUUUACUGGUUUGUGACAUCAGUGCACGGAUUAUUACUUACGACUAGUAACUCUAUGGCUAUUUGUGAGUAUGCAAAGCAUCAAAAAUUUUGUGUGUUUCAUCCAUCUGUAUUUUAAGUCCAAUUCCAUCUUUAAAAAAAUACAUCCUGAACAAUUGAGGCUGGUAUGGGUCGAUAUUAUGCAGUAUGUAGAUUUCCCUAUACAUAAUCACACUACAACUGCCACUGAAGGAAUCGGGGCCGUCAAGCAGUCAGUCCGUUCAAACAGAGACAGAAAUACCUGUUAAUGACUGAAUCGGGGCCGUCGUGCGGUCAGUCCAUCAGACUAUUAAACAGUAACAACUAUAACACAACCGCGUCAUCCAAUGACGUCUUCAUGUAAAAACCAGUAACACAAUCUCGUCAUCCAAUGACAUCUUUUACAAAACCCAGAGGUACCGUACUGCUGAAGUCUGAAUCUGGGCCGUCAAGCUGUCAGUCUGUCAGACAACCAGACAGUAGCACCUAUUACUUCAAUAUUUAUCGACACGUCCUCCAAGGACUUCAUUAUCUGUUUCUUGUCUCUCUGGACACCUAUAUUCACACUGUCCCUCUACUGCAAGUAGGCCCACUCUAAUAUUGAUUAAUAUCGUGUAGCAAUCAAGACAACCCUGGGUGCGAAACUCACACAUUCCUCACAGGAAAGUUUCCUUUUCUGGUCCCAGGACACAGGAUAUAAAUCUUUCCAGACUUUUUUGCACUUUCAGGUUACCUAAGUGACCCGACCGGAGGUUGACUAAACCUCUGACUCUUCACGAUUGGUCAAUUCGGAGACGGAGAUAGAGUUUUUAUUACCUUUCGAACUGACUCCAUCGCUGACCAUCUAAAUAAACAAUAACGCCUCAACCCAGAUCUCCCAUUUGAGAUUUACCGUCUUAAAGUGUGUGAACAUUCUUUGGUUUCUUUAGACCAACAGCUUUUCAGACUGUUUCAUGAACUUUAAGAGUUAAAUUUAUAGACUGUGACUCAUAACUUUAUUCUAAGUAACAGAAAUGGUUUAGAAAUGUUUUGGUUUAUAUUUUGGUAUAUUUAGUAUUUUAACCAUUAGGUGGUUAUAAUAUCAGUGAAUAAUCUGAAUGUAAGUAUUUAGAAUCCAUUAUUAAUCAUGAUGACGUUCAGUCACAUGUAUUUACUCUUUUGUUGUUCACAGUUUCUAUGUGUUACUAUCUGUUGCAUUUCAGAGUAAUUUAGCAUGUUCAAUGUGAUACUUAAAACAUAAUGAGAAUGUUUGAUGUGAUCCUACAUUUCAUUCAUAUGUGUUUAGUAUCAAAUUAUUUAUCAUGAAACCAAGCAUUCAAUGAUAUUAAUCAUAGUGAGUGAGUAUCAGAUCUGACUCUUUUACCAGCCAAAAGUAUAAGUUAGAUCAAAUAAUCAGAGAUCCGAGGUCUCCUCUGCUUGGAGACCACACGACCCUCCUCCUCUUUCUCCUCACGCCCCCCCCCCCCCCCCCUGCUGUAGGCGCCCCUGCUUGCUCUGAAGGUGCUGCACAGAGGGUGACAGACUGUGUGAGAUGAGGCGGGGAGAGAGUCGCGGGGGGACAGCUCUGCUCUGUGUACGCAUGUCAGCAUAUCAGUGGGAGCGCGGAUACGUCAUUUUGUAGUUUUUUAAUCAUUUCUGGAGUCGCGGUGAAUGAAAUCACCAUACCCGUCUGCCUCUGAUAGGCAAGUAAAGCGCUCGGGUUCAUGCUGGGAUCUUGCUACGUGCUUGAUGAGCUUCAUGAGUAAAGUAAACAAUGACUGAGGCAGAGAGCAGCUUCAGAGGAGAAACAUCCAGCAGUGUGAACAACCUCUUCAUAUGGAGUGCUUUGGCUCACACUAUCAGCGUUAUCUGUGAGUGUUGCAUGACUUUGGGUGAGAACAGAGAUGAACACACUGUCAGCCAUGUAUUUAUUUAUUCAUUUUUUAAUUUUUAGUUCUGCUUUUGUACUGGCACUAUACUGGGGCAGCUGUUUACCCUUUCAACACCUUAUUUUCUAUAUUUACAUUUGUAUUGAAUGGACACUUUAUCAUGACUGCCACUUGUUUUACAGAAAGCAAAUUAUUUGUCAUUCUCCAGUGCAGAGUCUUUACUUUUAUUUAUACAGCCGCUUUAUUUCAUUUGAGUUUGUUCAAGGUUUUCAAAAAUGUGAUGAAGGUUCGCAAAACUAAAAGAGAGCUUUCUUGAAAGCCACAUGUUUAAGCUCUCAAAUACUUUUUGAAUUUUGUUUCUAUCUACUACAGAGGCCGAGAUAGCAGCUUUUUUGUAAACCUCAACACUUCAGAAAACCUCAGGAUCUGGGGGCCCUUCUCAAAAUGGCCCUCAGGAUUGUGUUUUUUUCUAUUGAAGGAUUUCUGCAAUUGAGAAAUAUAUUAUUUUUGUUGUUAUAAUAAUAAUAAUAAUACAUAAUAAUACAAAGCUAUCUGUUCAAAAUUCUAUCUCUUUUUGUGUUUGUGUGUCUGUGUGUGUGUGUGUGUGUGUGGAGGGGGGGGGGGGGGGGGGGGUCGCCCGGGGAGUAAUUUGGUCUAGAACCGCCACUGGCUGCGGGAUGUAUAUAUGAGGGAGAAAAGGAGGAAGAAGGAAGGUGGGAGAAGCGAGUUGCAUCCUGCGACCUUCGUGACUGCAGCUUUGGACCCGGUGUGAACACACGCGACGGGAAUACAACGACCAACGCGACUAGGUCGCUUCAGGUCGCGUUUGGUCUGAACGCGGCUUAACACUGAAGUAUCUGAGGUAUUUAAGUGACACAGCUCCACCACUCUCAAGGCUGACAGGACUGGCUAAAGAAACUCAUUCUAACAGGCUGUCAAGUAGCUUCGUUUCAAACAUUUUUACCUUGACUUUGUUAGCAUUCACUUACAUUAUGAUCCUGAUCCUGCUCCUGAUAUAGAAACAACCAAAACAACAUCACAUCCUGGUAAGUUGAGUGAAAUUCAUGGACAUUUCAGAAAGUGUUUUUCUGAUUUGUGAUGCAACGAAAGACAAAGCAAUUUUUCAGUGAAAUGACAUUUUAUUGCAAUUGUGUCAGGGAGAACUUGCAAACAAUAUGGCGUAUUCAUUAAUAUCAGUUCAUUCCGGAGCAGGCGAUUGCCUCCUGGUUGUGCGCGCACCUAGUAUUGUUUGUACACAAGAAACCCGUCUAUAAGGAAGUAUGACCAUAAUUUCUAUUUUGUUAACUUAAAGGCCACCAAUGCAGUAAUCAGACAGAGAACUAGAGGGAGGUUAAAGUGAAGAAAAUUAUAGAAAGAUGGCCCCAGUCAGUGACAGUAUUCCCCUCAGACCAUCAACAUCAGCUUAGAGUUCAGUCGCACCAGCAGUGAUUGAUAACGAGAAGGUUGAUCACACAGAAAUAAACAAUGGUUUUUUGUCAUAACAAUAGGGUUGCUGUAAUAUUGUGUGUACUUUAUACUCAAUAAAUGGAAAAAUACAACCUGUAAGUUAAAUAUAGUAAAAUAUAUUGCCCAGUUGCAUGUUAUUUUGUGUAAUUAUAUAAUGUAAUCAUUAAAAUUAUUUUUUUUUCAGAAUGCUGUUUUUAUGUCAACCUAGCUUUGUAAAAGAUUCUGAAGAUGUUUCUCUACAUGGUCAAACAUAUUCAACACUGACAUGGAUCAAACUUUUCUACUUUUAAGUAGACUGAGAGUAUAUCUGUAUCUGCAGGUAAAAUGCCAACUCACAACAGGUCUGGCUGGAAUUGAUAACUUUAUUGUUGUUGUAAUAAAGUUUGUAAUAUAAAUUUGACAGUAAAGUAUAUACCACUCAAGUGUCUUACAUAGGAUUGUGAAAUGGAAUUCAAAAAUCACAUAAUCAAUGACCGCUAAUGAAAAUGUUCCAUGCACAAUAUUCUCCUGUUUUCUGGAAAAGUCAAUAUUAUGAAUGCUUUUCUGGAAUUCCAGUCCAUAGAAUAUUGACUAUGUUGUUGUUGUUUGUUAAAUGUUGCAAAAAAAAAAGUUACCUGGAUCAGUCAGCCAACGUUUUAUGGCUGUUGCAUAUUAAUUAUGAUUAAGUUUAUUUUAUUUUAAAAUUAACAUUAAUAUCCAAACUCAAGUUUGGAUUCAGUCUUGAUCUUGGUAAGUCUGUUCUUAAUUUUAAAAGGGACCUGCCAAAAAAAUGUAAUUUUUUGUAUUUUUUGUGUCAGACAUUGGCGUCGUUAGGCCUAUUUAAGGGGGGCUGAAGCCCCCCUAAAAUAUUCUUUAGCCCCCCCCAAAUUUUUUUUUUUUUUUUUUUUUUUUAAAUAUAUAUAUAUAUUUUACAAAAAAGUGCAGACAAAUUCAAUACAAAGACGCAGGAAUAUGAGUUUAAAUAAAUAAUAAUAUAACAUGUCAUUAUUCACUUAAAUAUGAUCACAAAUCAUUUGGUUUCCCCUGACUUCACUGUGUAAGGUGGAGAGCCUUCGUCAGCGCUUAGUUAUUCAAUCCGUUCCACUUGUUGAUAUAGAGAACGCCCACAUUACUAAAAAUCCAGUCCGCGUUUUCACUGCUGCCAGCAGCAGCACCUACAUGCUCCCUGCACACAGUCACAGCGAGAUGGUCACGUCACGAGCCAGGCAGAGAGCAGCAUCAUGGACAUACACAAGUUUUUCAAAAAAGUAAGUCUUUAUAGCUGCUGGUAGUAACAAUAAGCUCCAGCUAACAGCAAAUAGUCCCAUGUAAUUUAUGAACCAGGUGCUCCCCAUUUUGAGAAAUAAAAACCUGGCUAUCACACCAAGUUAAAUUGUUAGCAUGAUGUUGAUUUCUGUCACUUGUUUUAUCUCUGAAAAAAGCGAGCUGAGCUCAUUCACGUAUGAUUAUCAUCAGUGGAUAAUAAUAAUGCACUAAUAAUACUCACCCCACCAUCCCCACUGACCUGUAGGAGUCAGGACAGAGGAGCACAGCAAGUGAGAGGGGAGACACCUCUACUGGAGAGGUGAGUCUAAAAGAAUUCACAGGAGUGACGCAGACAGUCUGAUCAGAAUUUUAUGGAACUCAAUAUGGAUAUGAAAUAUGAAAUUUCAGUCAUGCACCAUAUAAGACUUAUUUCAUUUGAGUUUUUAUUUAAGAGAGUCAAGAUUAGAAAGUGGAGAGAGCCAAGAGAUAAAUUAGCCUGACCGAAAUAUUUUUGGGGAUUCUAUUUUAAUAUUACUUUAAGUCAAGUAAUUUAGUAAUAUUUUUCAGGGCUUUAAUUUGCAACCAUUUUAAAAUGUAAUCUGUGUAACAUCUUACUAUUUGGGAGCAAAAAAUUACUGUGGUGUUUGAGCUUAAGUCAUGACAUUAGCCUCUAUGUUGGAUUAGUUAUUAAUUCAAUGUAUUUCAAUGUAUCUUGGAGGGUCAGGCAGAAGGAAAGGCUGAGGAGCUGCAGCAAAUGGCAGAGGAAGCUGAGAGAUGAGAGCAAACAGGCCAAGAGAGGGAAAAUAAUGAAGCAGCUGCAGCAACUCAUUCCACUUCAGGGUUUGAUUUAGGUGACAAAGACACAGGGCCCAGACAGGUCAAGCUGAAGAGCUACCCACAAGAUAGUUUUGGUACACAGAAGCGAGCAUUUCACUACAGCUGGUUUGAAAAGCACAACUGGUUAGGAUAUUCAGUCAACCAGAAUACAGCUUUCUGUUUCCCAUGUAGAGUGUUUGGCAAAAACAUAAAACAUGAUAGUUUGGUCAGUAGUGGUUGCAAGAACUGAAAAAAAAACAGACUGAAAUAAAACAAAAAAACUCCUGGUGGCCUGAGACUACAUCUUAGUUAAAUCCGUCCAAAAAAGCUGAAAAGCAAUUUCUCAGUCUUUGUUUUCUGUCUGUGAAAUUUUGUGCUCGCUCACUACGUUCACUCACAUCCUGUUCAUCUCUUGGGGGCUAAGCCCCCCCUGUCCUUAAAACCUAGUGGCGCCCCUGGUGUCAGAUAAGGUCCAUAUUAUGUUCGUCUUCUGUUGUAAAUGUGAAAACAAACCGUUACGUUGUUUGCAUUCUGUAAAGGUUUAAAUAAAGGAACGAGUAAACCAGGCCAAUUGAAAAAGCAGGUCCAUCUGACGUUGCGUUGACAUUGCUCAUUAUUAUUCACGAGCGCAUCCUCGGUGAGCCGCGCCCACUCUCUCAUUCUCGUACUCAGUCACAGCCAGAGCGAGACCCAGCUACCACUGUAUCCGCUAUGGGUCUCUUCCAAACGACCGGUGUUUCCUUCGGUUCACUGCCAGGAAAAUGAACUUAAAGCUGGACAGAAUGAAUUAGAAAACACCGCUGGAGAUCUCCGGCUUCUUCCUCAACUUCCACCUCCUCUUCGGACUCGGGGUCUAAAAUAUAUGGUUUAAUACCUGCCGUUUUUAGCCUUUAGCAUAAGGUGACCAGACGUCCCCGAUUUCCG
rnacentral:lncRNA from 1 species